rnacentral:lncRNA from 1 species
GACAUGUUGCAGCAUCUCUCUCUUUCUCUUUCCCUCUCCAGAUCUCCCCCGUUCUCUUUCUCUCUUUCUCCCUCGCUAGCGACCGGACCGUUUUUACUUCUUGCUCAAAAUCGACGAUACGUGCUGAGGGGACUUCAUCCAAAUUGCUCUCAUGCUCUGUUAUAUAUCCGCUUGAAAAAAACGUAUGAAAAAAAUGGAUAAAUCAAGCCCAUCAUCAAAGUGUCUCUCAAUUACGAAUUUUAUCAACAAAAUUCCCACUUUUUAAGUCCAAACUCGAUCAAUCAACGUCCGAAUGAAAACAUCGUUAAAUCUCCAAAAAAUUUCGUCAGUAAUUAGCCGUUGUACCCUGACGCAACAUUUUUACUUCAUCUAGUUUCGAUGCAUGGCCUAAUUAUAGAUCGUUAUCAAUUCUAUAAAAAAUUCUCAAGUCUUGCAAGUUUUUUUUCAAAUUCUCCAUUAAUAACAUGAGCUACCAAUGACAUUUUUUGACCUUUUUGUGCUGCACAUUUCAAGUGGACUGACCUUCGGUUUUCCAUUCUAUUUUGUGGAACCAAGCAAUUACGGAUGGGGGCAAAUUUCGAUCACAUUAAUAACAUUUAUGAUAUUGAAGCAUUAUUAUGUGUCUUUAUAACUUUUGAUUGAUUCAUGUAUUAAUGCUAUUGUUGUGUCACAGCAUGCAGUAGUGUAAUACAAGAAAACCAUGACUUAUCCGCAAUGAAACGGAGGCAAUAUUAAUUAUUAUUUAUUAUUUUAUCAGUUGAUGGGUGCAAGAGCAGCUGGCGGCUCAUUAGUCGAAGGCGAGAGUGAGACGAAUAAAGUCGCCGCGCAUUCGUGUGUUAGGACGAGAGCACGCACUUUGCACGCUUUGGAAAAUUGGCAAAUGAUCUGGAAAAAUACUGACCCUUCGGACGAUCACAACUUUUGCAUCGGACCGUUGGUGGGAAAGCUGUUCGAGAGACCGGAUGACGAAUCGUCGGUCGAAAUGAAUUUGUUUUCAUACUGGGACGAAAAUCUGAAUGUGGAAAAAUGAUGCAACGAAACGAUGAAACGAAAAAUGUGCCAGUUGACGUUUUGCACUGAUUUUUUGAGGAGGAAAAAAAUGAGUUUUCCCUCGUUCGCAGACUUUGGAGUUUAAAUAAGAGUCGUUCGUUGUAGCGAAGGAGCGACAAUUUUCGAGUUAUACUGAGAGUGCGGGAUAGCUCGUAGGUGGAAAAACUCGAUCUCACUCAGUUUUCGUGCAACAUCGCCGCGUCGCUUUUUCGACUCAACGAUUAUAUUUUUCUUUGCCACUUUGGGGUUAGCUCUUUUCUGUCCUCGCCCUCCUCUCUUCUUCCUUCUCAUUUUGUCGCUGUAUUUGCUCCAAGCAAAUUCCUCGAGAGAACACCUCCGCGGGGCAAUCCGACGAUAAAUUGUCGAGAGUGGGCGAAUCUUCGCCCCGAGAGCAAAACUCCACAGCAAUCACGACCAACUCGCGUGCGAACAAGCCUCUGUGUGUGUGUGUGUUUCACCAUAAACGCAAAAAUAUCUGUAUACGUACGAAUCCUUAAAAAAAUGACGUAAAACCUCAAAUUAUUCGCUCACGAGAACCGACGUCAACGAAUGUAUACAUGCAAACACAAGAUUUCACACUCCACCGCUGAAUUAUCUCGACACUCUUUUCUGCUUCCACGUCGCCUGACUAUCGUUCUCUCGCUGAAGCUAUGAAAGAAAAACUUCGGUAAAUAUUAUACGAUUAUCUUGGAUGGUUGAUAACGAGAAAAAUUAUUCAACCCUGUCAAACGUUUGCUCGUCGAUAGGAGACUGGCGAAUAAAAAAAAUCCGAUUGAACCAGCCUCGUGAACGCACGCUUGCUCCCUUCGGCCAAAUUUCAUCAUGCAUCAAAUCUUUUCCAUCCAAAAAUAACAACAGAUUUUUCCCAUUCAAACUUUUAUUAUACCACUUCAAAUGCAAAUUGAAUUUUAGCAAAAUGUAAAAAUUACUACGGUGCUGUAUCGUCAUAUUUACUAAUUCUUACGAACAUACAUAGUCAUUUUUUGUGAAGCGAGAACUCGAUGAAAAUUGAUGUGCCAUAUACCAAAACAAAUAUAUCGAAAUUUAGCUACA